CAAUGGCAUAAGCUAGCUUGACUGCGAGAGUGACGGCUCGAGCAGGUACGAAAGUAGGUCAUAGUGAUCCGGUGGUUCUGAAUGGAAGGGCCAUCGCUCAACGGAUAAAAGGUACUCCGGGGAUAACAGGCUGAUACCGCCCAAGAGUUCAUAUCGACGGCGGUGUUUGGCACCUCGAUGUCGGCUCAUCACAUCCUGGGGCUGAAGUAGGUCCCAAGGGUAUGGCUGUUCGCCAUUUAAAGUGGUACGCGAGCUGGGUUUAGAACGUCGUGAGACAGUUCGGUCCCUAUCUGCCGUGGGCGUUGGAAGAUUGAGAGGGGCUGCUCCUAGUACGAGAGGACCGGAGUGGACGCAUCACUGGUGUUCGGGUUGUCAUGCCAAUGGCAUUGCCCGGUAGCUAAAUGCGGAAAAGAUAAGCGCUGAAAGCAUCUAAGCGCGAAACUUGCCUCGAGAUGAGUCUUCCCUGAGACCUUGAGUCUCCUAAAGGAACGUUUAAGACUAAGACGUUGAUAGGCUGGGUGUGUAAGCGUAGCGAUACGUUGAGCUAACCAGUACUAAUGAUCCGUGAGGCUUAACCUUACAACACCGAAGGUGUUU
rnacentral:rRNA from 1 species